rnacentral:SRP_RNA from 1 species
GCCAGGCAUAGUGGCGUGUGCCUGUAAUCCCAGCUACUCAGGAGGCUGAGGCAGGAGAAUUGCUUGAACCCAGGAGGCAAAGGUUGCAGUGAGCUGAGAUCAUGCCACUGCACUCCAGCCUGGGCAACAGAGUGAGAAUCUGUCUCAA